UACGUAGGUUGCGAGCGUUAUUCGGAUUUACUGGGCGUAAAGAGCACCGAGGUGGCUUCUUAAGUUGGAUGUAAAAUCUCCUGGCUUAACUGGGAGGCGCCAUUCAAAACUGAGGAGCUUGAGGUCAGCAGGGGAAGGUGGAAUUCCCGGUGUAGUGGUGGAAUGCGUAGAGAUCGGGAGGAACACCAGUGGCGAAAGCGACCUUCUGGGCUGCACCUGACACUCUAGUGCGAAAGCGUGGGGAGCAAACAGG
rnacentral:rRNA from 2 species